rnacentral:lncRNA from 1 species
GGAAGAGAUGCGCAUGGUGGCUCUGGGAGCAUCCAGAAGCUGGACUCCAGCAAAACACUGCCUGGAAAGUCAUUCCCGCAAAUCAUCCUGUUUCACAGAUGAAGAAAUUGCACCCUGAAACAUCCAGCAAUUCAUCCCAGUGUUAACAGAAUUCUGCCUUCCCUAAAUCACCAUUCAGAUGAUAAUGAGAGGAAAUAACCUAGAUGUAAAUCAGUGGAUGGUGUGUACUGAAUGGACUGAAGGACAAUGAAGGAAUAGGAAACACAUCGCAUUGAGGCUAUGUACAUCAUCUCAAAGGGAAGGUCCUCCACCACUGACUCAGCUAUCUCUUUGACUGAGCAUCAGUUGUCCAAGCACUGCUGGCUAAAAAUUAUUUUUACAGCGUAUGUAAACUUGGAAAUGCAAAUCAAAACGAGAGAGAGAGGAGGAGGAGGAAGAUAAUGUCUUCCAGAUGACAGCUUUCUGGAUGGGAUCUGAA